rnacentral:sRNA from 1 species
CAAGCAAGAAGAACCUAUGAACCU